GGAAGAUCUUGGCUGUUACCUUUGUGGAACGGAUGCUCAAUGAUUCAAUUAAGGGCUGUAGAAACUUUUGAGCUCUAGAAUGGAUGCCUAUUAGCAGAUUUCAGCAUCUCCCAUGGUCAUGUGCUCUGCAGACUAAGAACGGACCAGUGGGGCUGGCUGGAAAGCUCUUCCACGGACGCGCUCUCUGGUUGCCUCCAUGCCUUCGGUGUAUAGAGGCCCACAAAGAGAACCCGGAAGUUCAUGGUGGCCUCACUGUAGCAGCCUUAAGCCCACUAAUCAAUGCACUCAAGCGGAUGCAUGCGUUUUCCAUGAUUUCCUUUGUGUGUUGAGAGCCUAGAGAAGAACAAUGGACGCACAGCAGUGGGUUUAAGGAUCUUCCGUGGUCUUGGGCUCUACAGACUGAUAAUGGAUGCACCUGAAUUUAUUAAGCAUUCGACUGUGAUCAGGGCCUCUGCUGGUUUUCCUGUGUAUAAAUACAUGUGGGUCAUAAUGGAUCCUACAAGCUGAUUUCAGCUUCUGCUCUGAUUGAGAUCAUCAUGUUGCCUCUGUCAGGAGGGCGACAAAGACCACUAAAUGGGUGCACCUGGACUGAACAGACCACGAUCUCGAGGCUGCCAGUUUUCCCUAAAGAUUCCUUAGUUGAUAGCAGUGUAAGCUAUUUUCAUCAUGAGGAAGAGCACACUGGAGAUAAUGAACUGAACUAAUGUAGCCCUUCUGCCAUGGCAGUGAAUGCUGUAUUAGGAGCAAAGAGACAAAUGGUGGGUUCUCAAUGCUGUUCAAGUUUCAACCAUGAUUCCUGUGAUCAAAAAAUUUAUGGCUGCAUCUAUGUGUAGGAACCAGUAACAGAUACUGGAGUGGACUUCAGCUUCUGCCACAGUGAAGAUUAUCAUAAUGACUCUGUCAGGAAAGAGACCAAGACUGGACAUACUUGAGAUGAUUUAACCAUCUUCCAUGAUCCCAAGCCCUUUGGUUGCCUCUAUACAUUCAUUAGAAGUAUGGAGGCCAGUUACUCCGCAGAAUGGAUGCCCUUGAGCUGACUUAAGCAUCUUCCACGGUCU
rnacentral:lncRNA from 1 species